rnacentral:sRNA from 1 species
AGCAUCCAUGUCUGCACACUUCACCUUCAAGUCCUUUAAAUCUUCCUCAAUUUCUU